rnacentral:rRNA from 1 species
UACGGGGGGGGGCAAGCGUUGUUCGGAAUUACUGGGCGUAAAGGGCUCGUAGGUGGCCAACUAAGUCAGACGUGAAAUCCCUCGGCUUAACCGGGGAACUGCGUCUGAUACUGGAUGGCUUGAGUUCGGGAGAGGGAUGCGGAAUUCCAGGUGUAGCGGUGAAAUGCGUAGAUAUCUGGAGGAACACCGAUGGCGAAGGCAACCGCCUGGGCCUGUAGCUGACGUGAGACACG